ACCUCAGGGCACCACUGCCAACAUUUACAUAAACUUUCAAGAGGUUGCCUCUUAUAACGAAAGAUUAAGAAUUUUGAUUUUUUUUUUACAUUUUUGCAGUUUCCAUGGUAACAGCGGCCAUUUUGAACCAUUCCAAUGUCUAUUGCACAACUUCACAUGGCAGUUCAUAUUAUGGUAUAGUUCCAUCAACAUGGGUCUGACCAAUCCCGAGAAAUAGCAUGGACAAAAUGUGUGGAAGAAUAAAAAUGGUAACGGCGGCAAUUUUAAAAAUUCCAAAGUCGAAUUACAGCUACAUAUGGUGCUACCUGUAAUAAUCUAUCAUUAUAUAACAUAAAAGUACAUAGGAAUAAUUCAACACUAUCACAUGACUAAUCACAUGACUAUUGUUCUAGAAUGUUCCAUGAAAAUUGACCCCCUAAAAUAAUGCCAAGAUGACCCUGGGCUGAAAUAAAAAAUGUGGAAUGGACACCUGGACAUCGGUCUCUUGUAUUACACAAAACUUAAAGGUUCUACCAGUAGCGAAUCAAUAGUCGAAAAAUGACCCCACCCAUGUUCCGGCCCCCAAAUAGUGCCAAGUUGACCCCUAUUUGAAAUAAAAAAUAGUGAAUGCACCCCUAGGGAUACCACCCCAACAUCAUACCAAAUGUAAAGUUUCCAUCAUUUAAGGCUUGGAAGAAAAUAGUCGGACAAAUUAGGGUUAAGAAGAAUAAUAAUAAUAACUAGAUUUGUAAUUGCUAGCAAUAACGGAUUGCACCCUUUCCCCCAUUGCCAGGGUAACGGCAGCCAUUUUGAAAAUUCCAAAGUCAAAGAGUGCAUCUACAGAUGCUGAUUUACAUUUUUGUAAAGUUUCAAUAAGUUUGGAGCAUUUUGAAAUUAUUGACAUUUUUGCAGUUUCUAUGGUAACGGCGGCCAUUUUGAAAAUUCCUAAGUCAAACUGCAAAUCAGCACAUGCCAGUUACCAUUUCUGUGAAGUUUCUUUCCAUUUGGGGCACUUUGAUUUUUUUCGCAUUUUUUGCUGUUUCCAUGGAAACGGCGGCCAUCUUGAACCAUUCCAUACCAAGGUGCACAACUUUACAUGGGGGUCCUCAUUAUAGUAGAGUUCCAUCAACAUUGGUCCAUUGGAUUCCAAGAACUCGCGCGGACAAAAUGUGUGGAAGAAAAAUAAGAAAAAAAAGAAACGUAGAAUAACAGUAUGUCACCCCAACUCCGUUGAGGGUGCCAUAACUAGAAUUGCCAUUGCAAGCAAUAGCGGAUGUCACCCUGGUACGCCAAUUGCCACUAAGUGGCAGCCAUUCCGAAAUUUCUUAACAUUUGAUUAACAAGUUCACUUCACAAUUCAUCAUUCUGCUAAUUUUCAGAAAGUUUAAAGCAUUUUGAUUUUUUUAUGUUUGAACUGUUUCUAUGGCAACGGCCGCCAUUUUGAUAAUUCCAAAGAUGGUUGGCAAGUCUUUGCAUGCCAAGUAACAUUUCCACAAAGUUUUCUUCAUUUCGGAUAUAACAUUCAAUGUCUGUAUAAUUAAUCUAAGACUAAUGUUCUGGAAUGUUCUAUAAAAAUUCACCCCCUUAAAUUAUGCCAAGGAGACCCCCUAGCUGAAAUAAAAAUGUUCCAUGUUGAAGUGUACAUGAGUCUCUUUAUAUCAUAGGAGUUUCAUAUAAUUUAGAACACAUUUCUAUUUUUCACAUUUUUGCUGUUUCCAUGGCAAUGGCAGCCAUUUUUUUAAUUCCAAAGUCAGGUGCACAACUACACAUGAGGAUUAACAUUAUGCUAAAGUUCCAUCAACAUUGGUCCAUUCAAUUCCGAAAACUAAGCUGGACAAAAAAUGUGGAAUAAGAAUAAUAAAUUAGAUUUGCCAUUGCAAGCAAUAGCGGAUGUCACCCUUCCCCCAUUGUCACUAGAUUGCAGCCAGUUUUUAAAUUUUAAACAGUGAAUGCACAUAUAUAUUGAUGGCUAUACAUCUUUCUGUAAUUUUUUAGAACAUUUAGCGGAUUUACAAAUUUAACGCAUAAUUUUUCCUUUUUUGCCUUGUUUCCAUGGUAACGGCAGCCAUUUUGGAAAUUCCAACGCCAAUUGCUGCUUCCACACAUGACAGUCAACAUUAUUGUGAAGUUUCAUUAAGUUUGAAGCAUUCUGAAAUUUUUGAAAUUUUUGCUCCUGUAUCCAUGGUAACAUAGUAGUUCCAAUGAUUGUCAAAAUCAUUAAAAACCUGUAUAUAAUGGACAACUAUAUUGUAUAAAAAUUUGAUGAUUUUAAGUUAAAGCGUACCAAAAUUAUUCACCAAACCCUGAAGUUUUUGGAGCAUUUUGACCUUUUUGCAUUGUUUCCAUGGUAACGGCAGACAUUUUGGAAAUUCCAACGCCAAAUUCCACAUCUACCAAUGUUGCUCAUUGUUACUGUGAAGUUUCAAAAAUUUUUGAGCAUUUUGAUAUUUUUGAAAUUUUUGUUUUUUAGUUUCCAUGGCAACAUAGUAGUUCCAAUGAUGGCCAAAAUCAUCCAAAAACCAGUAUAUAGUGGGCACCUACAUGGUAUUAAAAUAUAAUGAUUCUAAGUUUAAGCAUCUCCAAAUAAUUCACCAAAACCAAAAACUGGAUUUUUUCACAUUUGUUCCGUUUCCAUGGUAACGGCAGCCAUUUUUAAUGUUCUUAAGACCUACUGCAACCCGAAAUUUUGUGUUCCUCAUUAUAGUUAACUAUUAUUAAGAUUGGUUCCAUUGGCUCCAAAAACACUGCAGGACAAAAUUAGGUGGAAGAAUAAUAAUAAUUAUAAUAAAAAAAAGAAACGGAGGAAAAGCAAUAUGUCACCCGACAUUGUCGAUCGGGUGACAAAAAAAGAAUCGAACAAUAACAAUAUGUCACCCGACCUCCAUCAGGGUGACAUA